rnacentral:lncRNA from 10 species
CUCCAGUUUACAAAGAAACAGGCCCAGAGAGGCAAUGUGACCAUAAGGGUCAGAGGACACGGGGCCACGUCAGCCUGAGCUUCACACCUGCCCUGCGGCCACGGCUCCAUUCCCAGAGUGGCCAGGACCGUAGGACCCUGUGCCUUGGGGACAUGUCCUGGGGUCUGACUCUCUGUGCCAAUGAGUCAGGGCUGCCCUGGGCCUGAGAAUACCCAGACAGGACUGGUGCCCGUGGGCAGGUGUCUGCCACCCCAGGCAGAGCCAAGUGGCCUGUCCACGAUCCCCCUGUGGAGCACUCCUAUGUGGUCUCUGGAGGGAAUCCAUGGAGUCCCAGCAGCCAAUGGAGACGACAAGGUCAGAGAUGUGGAGACCGAGGGCUGGAGGACCAGGGACAAAACGAGCCCUAGGACACGAAGAGGACGCUGGCCUGUAGCUCCGCAGUGACGGUGACCCCAGGCUGUCCUGCAGGACCAGGGACAAAACGAGCCCUAGGACACGAAGAGGACGCUGGCCUGUAGCUCCGCAGUGACGGUGACCCCAGGCUGUCCUGCAGGACCAGGAACAAAACGAGCCCUAGGACACGAAGAGGACGCUGGCCUGUAGCUCUGCAGUGAUGGUCACCCCAGCUUGUCCACGCUGACUUCUCACCUUUCCCAGGACGGUUGGCGCCUUUCAUUCUCUGGGGCGAAAACAGUCAGGACAUUCAUCCAACACUGAGCCGUGUCUCUUCCAGCAGCGAUGGCCAAGGCAUAGCCUUUGCUAUUCAGGGACUGAAAGCAGGGAACUUCCACUGUGUGACAACAUUACAAAUUUAAACUCUGUACUUAAAAAAAGAAAGCCAGCUGGGCGUGGUGGCUCACGCCUGUAAUCCCAGCACUUUGGGAGGCCGAGGCAGGUGAAUCACGAGGUCAGGAGAUUGAAACCAGCCUGACCAACAUGGUGAAACUCUGUCUCUACUACAAAUAGAAAAAUUAGCUGGGUGUGGUGCUGCGUGCCUGUAAUUCCAGCUACCCAGGAGGCUGAGGCAAGAGAAUCUCUUGAACCCAGGAGGCGGAGAUUGCAGUGAGCUGAGAUCAUGCCACUGCACUCCAGCCUGGGCAACAGAGCGAGACCCC